rnacentral:misc_RNA from 1 species
GAAAUCUAUAUUUUCUGUUUCAGAAACAGCAUUAAGAAGUGAGGCAUUUUCGGAUAUUCCUCGGUUCCAAGCCCUGGAGUCGGAUGAUUGAUACGAGAGUAUUGAUCAUUAUUUUUUUUCUGACAAGUAAUUUAUUAACUUUUUGCAAUUUUACAAUUUGUCUGACUAUUUGUGUUCAAUUUGCCAAUGUUGCCUUGAAUGAUAUUGUACAAAACCUAAUAUUUAUUAAGUGUUAUUGUUUGUAUUUAUAGACAUAUACACUAUCUAGUUCAUUGUUCAGGAAUGUUGUAUAAGCAUGUUUCACGCUGAACAAGUUUUUAUAGAACAUGUUUGACUGAUUUUUUUUUUAAAAAUUUUAGUGUGUUUUAUUAAUCUUUUCUUUAUAUUUCAAAGUUACUUUCUAAGUGCAUCUGGUCUUCGUCUUGUCAGAAAUCUUGAAGGGAAAACCAUCUCUUAUAGUUACUGAUGUUCUGAAAAUUGAAUGAGUUUUGAUAAAAUGGUGAACAAUUUUCGAGAACAGCUGCUGGUUUAUAAUGUGUUUUAAUAGAUAUAACAGAGAAAAGAAACAAACAAUACGAAACAAUUUCAUUCAAUUGUUUCGUACGAAAGACUAUUUCAUUUACUUGAUCUAGGGAUUCCACCGAAAUUUUUAAUUUGUUAAACAUAAAAGAAUUGAGCAGAAAACCCGUUACUUGAAUCCAUCCUAUUUCUUUUAACCCCUACAAAAUAAACCUCUUUAGAAAUUGCUCUUACAAAAUAGUCGGACAGGAUCAGCAUAUUUGAAGCAUAUCCAAGACACAAAAGAGAAGAAAACGGCGUGAAGUAGGACUACAAUGAAUUUUUUUAAGCCGGCCUUUGGAGGUUUGAUUUUUUCUGGAAGAAUAGAGCUCAACCAAUUGGGUCUGCUUUCUGUAUCACAGCCUUCGAGUUUGAAUUCGUUUUUAAAGUAUUAACUUACACGUAGGUACAUAGGAAGUAAAACAAAGUAAUGAAUAGUAAUUAACAAAAAACCUUUCAAAUGUUUGUAAGCAAUGGAUUAAUACUAAGUAAAGGUUAGUGUUUGUUUUACUUAUGCUUUUGUCACUUAGUGUUGACAUGAAAUUUGCUAACGCAGUUUUUAAUGUCCACAAUGGAGGGCAAAACUUAUACAUGCACAUUCAUCAGAUUACAUUAAUUGAGUCGUCUUUUGUAAUUUAAUUAAUUUUUAAUUUAUGUAGUAUUUCCACAUUUACGAUAAUAUACAUGCAUGUAUAUUAUAGGAUAUGGUGACCGUAGGAUAAAACACGAGAUUCUUCAAAAGAAUGGGUUUUAAUUGUUUGUUAUUCAGCUCAUUGAAAGAUAAUUGAACCUGACUAUUAUUUAUGUUUAUAGUGCGAAUAAAAAAAGUCGAAAUGAGUAUGCACCAUAAUUUGUGAUAUUUUUUAUUUAACGUUUGAAUUGCAUGUUUUAUUAUUUGCAUUUGCUUAGGAUCAUCUCCACAAUGUGAAGAUUUCCACUUAGUAAUUUUACAAUUAUAAUAUUUUUAGGUAAUAAGAUUUUUUUUAAUUUAGAUAUAAAGUGUUCAAUUGAAAACAUAUAGUUUGUCUUUAUUUAGAAGCAUUCAAAUGCAUUUUGCAUGCUAUUUUCUGGAAAAUCCGAUAAGACCCUGGUAAUGUACCCUGAAUUUUUGGGAAUUAACAGGUUUAAAUGUUAAUAAAUAAGGAAUAAAUUAUCAAGAAAAAUUAUUUAAAAUUGAGGAACGUCUCGUAUGUUCUUUUAAAAAGUCUUGGACAACUUCAUGAUCCUGGGGUUAGAAUAGAUAUACCGUAAUAACAAAGUCACCUUGAUAGCAAAGCCAAUACCAAAUGUGCCGUACAACGCCACAAUUAUUGCAAAUUGAUUUUACGAUUUUACUUUUUAGAGGCAAUGUGUACCUGUUUGUUGUGUUGAGAAUACUAAGCUUUAAAAGACCCUCCUUUAUUUCUUUUUCUGGUAGUUAAAUAUCUCAUCUUACAUGGAAUCGAACUUUACAGACUCAUAAAAAUGAUAUUGCAUUUUUUCAUGAUGAAUUAUUAUGUAAUAUUUAAGAUAUCUUUGGCUAUUUAGUGUUCAUUUCUAGAAUGUAUGUUUGCGAGUUACAAAUGAUGCAUUCCUGUUAGUGAUUAUUAUACAAGAGUUAUUGUAAAUUCAGACUUUUGUUGUUGUGUGGGUCAAAGAUUUUGUGAUAUCAAAAGGUUACAUGACAUACCUGUUUACAGAAAUCCGUUUUAUUUGAGUUGUAUCAGUGUUGAUAUUUAACUGUUUGGUUAUGAAUGGUCAAUAAAUUAACGAUAAAG